AACGAACGCUGGCGGCAUGCCUAACACAUGCAAGUCGAACGAGACCUUCGGGUCUAGUGGCGCACGGGUUCGUAACGCGUGGGAACCUUCCCUUAGGGUCGGAAUAACUCCCCGAAAGGGGUGCUAAUACCGGAUAAUGUCUACGAACCAAAGAUUUAUGGGCUUGGGAUGGGGCUGCGUUGGAUUAGCUAGUUGGUAAGGUAAAAGCCGACCAAGGGGACGAUCCAUAGCUGGUCUGAGAGGAUGAUCAGCCACACUGGGACUGAGACACGGCCCAGAUUCCUAGGGGAGGAAGCAGUUGGGACUAUUGAACACUGGGCGAAAGCCUGAUGCAGCAAUGCCGCGUGAGUGAGGAAGGCGUUAGGGUUGUAAAGCUCUUUUAACAGGGAUGAUAAUGACAGUACCGGGAGAAUAAGCGCCGGCUAACUACGUG
rnacentral:rRNA from 1 species